CACGGGGGGAGCAAGCGUUGUUCGGAAUCACUGGGCGUAAAGGGCGUGUAGGCGGCCAGGUAGGUCCGCUGUGAAAACUCGAGGCUCAACCUCGAGAUGUCGGCGGAAACCAUCUGGCUAGAGUCCGGAAGAGGAGAGUGGAAUUCCUGGUGUAGCGGUGAAAUGCGCAGAUAUCAGGAAGAACACCCGUGGCGAAGGCGGCUCUCUGGGACGGUACUGACGCUGAGACGCGAAAGCGUGGGGAGCGAACAGG
rnacentral:rRNA from 1 species